UGCCUAUCCUAUCAGAUCUAUUUAAUACCAGGAAGUAAAGGACUCAUAGUUCUCCGAUGCUUGUUCUGAGAGACCGGCUCACAGUCCAUUAUCCCAGGAACAUUUCCUUUCCUCUCUUUCUCCAACAUCUUAUGUCCCCCACCUCUACUUCCCUUCUGGUUAAGGAAUGGUCGUAUGAUCCUGUACUGCCCAAUCCAGUAGCCACUAGACACAUGUGGCUAUGUAAGUUUAGAUGAAAUAAAAUUUAAAUACUCAGUUUCAUUUCUAGUGUUCCAUAGUAUUCCACGUGGCUAGUGGCUACCAUAUUGGAAAGUACAGAUAUGGAAAUUUUCUGUUUGUUCACAAAGUUCCAUCAGACAGCCCUAUUCCAGCCCAUCUUGUGUUCUUGGUAGGAAUAGAACUUCUAGGUUGAAUACAAGAUGGGGAAGUUGCUUUUACCAGAUACAAGCAACUGAACUAGCCCCUGAACUCUCUGCAAGCUUCUUCGGUGCUAGCUGGAGGACUACUGCUCGACAAGUCUGCCAGGGUUAUACCACAGCCAUUUCAAGUUCAGUUCAAGUCGACUUUGAGAAGUGUAUGCUAAAAUACUCUUUACAAGCUAGAGCUUACAGGAAAGAGAAUAGGAGAGAUGGUCUCCUUGUUUCAUUGAUUAUCGCCCAGCACCAGUGGAGGAUUACGUUCUCUGAACCGUGUCCAGAGAAACAGGAUAAGGAAAGGAUGGGGAGGUGCAUUACCCAUGCUGGCUGAAGGAAGUCUAAGUUUUCAAUAUGGGAAAAAGAAGAGUUAAAGGUACAAGCUAUGUGUCUUAAGGGAACAGAUUAGUCAUCACAAUGAUGGGCCAGAUGUGUUCUGGGGACCACCCAACAGACUUGGGAGUGAGGACUUCAGUCGUCCAAAAACAGAUUUUUCUGACUAAUAUGAGGAAGGACUUCUGUAGUGGCUACAAUGACCUGAAAUGAAGUGAAACUCCUCAGGAAUGUUUUAGCUUCUCAAGAACACUUCAGUUGGGAUGGACAGUCUAUUGACUACAGUCAGACAAAUUCCUAUAAAGAGUAAACACCCUAAUAUCAUCUCCAGAUCUGCGGUCCAGGGGUCUAUAUCUUCUGGAAAAAUGCUCACUGUGUCUAAUUACUACACUUCACCACGCCUCUGAAAUGUUAGGUUUUCUCCAAUGCAGCUCAAAACCUGAAAGCAUAAAGACUGUCUUUCUAACACAUAGAAUCCCAAGAACUCAGUGAGCUCAGGCAAUAACUGUCAUAAAGGGCCAUCAUUUUGGAGAAUUUGUAUUAGUGACUGUAGUUUCUUCUUAAAUCAUCAGAAAUAAAUGAAGGGAAGGGAAGAGGGAGAACAAAGGGGAAGAAGAGAAUGGGAAAAAGAGACAAAACACCCUUCUUUUACACUCACAGAAAGGAAGGAAAAUAAACACAGAAUGUAACACUGACACCAAAAGCUUUUUAUGAUGGGAUAUUCAAACAAUGUGCUGGCUUCAAACACUUUGGUUACUUCCAAAACUCAGAAUACAGUUCAAAGGCCGUAAAAUGCAUGAUGCUGUCUGGUCUUUGGUGACCUGCUCCCAUUUCUCUCUCCCAAGCCCCACUCUGCACAGUAAGGAAGCUCUGGGUUACUGACUGUUUUGGUUUCUGGAACGUGCCUGGGCCUGUUCAGGACUUGGAACACAAUGCCUCUGCCUGGAACAAGUUGCCCACACCGGCUCUGCACCCUAACCAUCCCCACCUGUAGGGUUACAGCUUAAACUUUUCUUAACAAAAGAAAUGCACUAUGAUUCCACCUCCUACCCAUGGACUGGGCCUGGUACCUCUCUGGUGAACAGUUACGGCUUUGGACAUUUUCUGGAUAGGGCCAGACUAGACAUAAGCUCAUGUGUCAUUGCCCCAGACUGAAACAACCCAAUGUGUGUCAACCUAUUACUAGGUAAACCACUGUGGUAGAGCCAUAAGCUGGGAUACAACUCAGCAACUUAAAAAAAAAAAAAAUUAAACUAUUUACAUAUGCAACCACCUUGAUGAAUCUCAAGUAUAUUUUUUAAAAGGAACAGAUGAUCUAUCUAUCUAAUGAUUCUUUUUAUAUAAAAGCCAAAUGCAGAUGACACUAAUGUGAUACAAAUCGGAGUCUGAGGUCAUAUGAUGAAAAUGUUCGGAAAGGGCUCAUGAGGGAGCUUUCUGGGGGAAAUAAAACCGACCUUUAUCUUAUUUUAGUUAACACGAAUGUAUGCAAUUGUCAAAAUUCAUCUAAUUGGACACUUGAGAGAAACAAAGAUUUAGUAUUGAUUUCUACUAUAUUUGUCUUUUGUCUUUGGGUAUCUCUCAUCCCAGUAAUGUAUUUGGCCUCAGUGGAGGCAUCUAGAAGUCACCUAGAGCUCUAGGCUUUGCAAGUACCUCUUCUCCUCUGUGCAUACUUCUAACUGCCCAGCUUGUCGGGACUUCCGGUGGUAGCUCUUGUACUGUUAACUUCUACCAGGUUCCUACGCUGAUCUACACGGCUAUGGACUGAAAGUUUGUGUCCUCCAAAAUUCAUAUGUUGAAGCCUCACCCUCAGUGUGAUGGUAUCAGUCUUGAGCUUCCAAGCUCCAGAAUCAUGAGAGGUGUUGGUUGUUGGAGACAUCAGUCUGUGGUGAUUGUUCCAGCAGUCUGCAUGGACUGAGACACACACUGUAUCCAAAUAGUGCUCUAGUUGCCAGCGGACCAACCAGCUUUAUUGUCACCAUACUUUUGGGGGACACAGUGAAUUCUAGUGCUUUUUAAGGAAAUAAUUCUGCUUCCUGUUGGUCUACAUUUGGGAAAUAAUUUGGCCAUUAUUAUUCUCAGGUAGCCUCUCUGUAUUGCUCUCCAUCUCUUUUAUCUGAGCUUCUCUGCAGGCUCUCGUGAAGUCCUUAUUCUCUGCAAGGACGUUCACUGAGUACAGAUGACCUGUCUCUUCUAGCCUAGAUGGGGCUAAAUACAGACAUGGAAGGAAGGGGGAAGGAAGGAAGGUGAUAAGUAGAAAGACAUAUAAAUAGAUGGAUAGACAGAUAGGUAAAUAGAUAGAUAGGCCCAAAACCUCCAGUUCUUGAUACAAACUUCUCCCCAUUCCUCAUAAGCUAACGGUGCCAAGGAAGAAUGCUUGAUACUGCCUAAUUUCCCAAAACAUGAUAAGAAAAUAAGAUAGAAUAAACAAAUACUAGCGAUAAGCCCAGCUCCUACAGGCAACACAGAAUCCUCGCCAUUUUAAGCCAAAUCAAUGGUAAAGCUUAAGUGACCAUUUAAAAAUCUCCACACACACAGAUUUUUAGAGGAAGGCUCUGCCCCAUUAUGUUGCUCAGCCCAUUGCCAGACACUUACGAAGUGGAUAUACCUCCUGCAAAGAAGCUCCCACAAUCAUAUUUAAAGAAAGAAUGAAGCAGGAAUGCAUAUCAGGAAUUUGGAAGCCUGUGUGUAACAAUGAUGUUGUAUCUUUGCAGAUUCUUAAUGUAAAUGUGUCAGGGGCUCAACCCCUACAUGUUGAAGGGCCUCAAAGAGAGACAUAUAUCAGGUUAAGUGAGAUAUACAGCCACAGCUCUGUUGCCUGCGGGUCAUGGAAAUCUAACUCAAGCAAGCUUAGAUGGAAAGAGACAAGAAACAUGAGCAUAUGUCACUGGCAUACCCGGGAAACUCAGUGUCUCAGGACGCAGAAGAUCCGGAACAGGAAAUGCUUCUGUCUUACUCUCAGUCUGAAUGCGGUCUUCAUAGGAUGUCACAGAUGACCACCGCCAAGACGACUCUUCAUUCUUCUCACAGUUAGAAACUCCAGUAAGAGUAUGUUCUGUGUCCCCUUCAUUCAGCUGUAGUCGCAGGACUCUCCCUGAAUGGCCCACGGGAGGGAGGCAUGCACUCAUCUGGGGAGCAGGAGACCAGUGUGAGGGCAGAGAACUCCAACUUUUAGGACCAAGGUGCUUCCCGCCUGAUCUGGAGGUCAGCUUCAGCAAAACGCACAGACUAACAACAAACAAAGCCCAGAACUGCUAGAGAAGCUUGCAUGUGGGCUAUCAUACCCCCUUGUGUUUACCAUGGGAAAAGGUCAGCACACCUUUUGCUAAUUUCAAAAGCAGCAGCAGUGAGAAAACAUAAACACGGAAGCUGAGGAAACUCCCACACCAUCGCCAUGCCCCAGAGCUUGGUCUCAGUCUCUUCGGAGGCAGGACAGAGGAGACAGAUGCUUGAACUUUUCAAAUGCUGUAACAUAUUGAGCUCAAAGUUAAUGGCAUUAUUACUUUCUUUUCUGGUAUCAGCGUCUUGGACGGGGCUUGGGAGGUAGCAUGAGGGAGGUGAGAACAGGGCUACCCCAGUGACCUCUGGGCCGUAGGCUCUUUCAUUAAAACUCUGCACAUUCAAGAUCAUCUGACAAAGCAACUUCAGAGCCAGACAGAGGUAGUCACAGAUUUGAGUGAGCCACUGCGAAGCCCUGUGAUUUCAGGGAAGCCACAUCAUCUCAUUUUCCUGUUCCCCAUCUGUAGGACCGUGCAAACAUUUGAUUAUGAUGGACAUGUGACCAGCACAUUCUAAGCACUGCAGAACUACGUUUCUUUCCAUGCCUUUAUUUUAAUCCCUGCUGCUAGUGAGAUACUCUAGGCACUAAGAAAUUUGAAGAGAUAUAUAAUUACAGAAAGGC